rnacentral:rRNA from 1 species
GAUGAACGCUGGCGGCGUGCCUAAUACAUGCAAGUCGAGCGAACAGAUGAGGAGCUUGCUCCUCUGACGUUAGCGGCGGACGGGUGAGUAACACGUGGAUAACCUACCUAUAAGACUGGGAUAACUUCGGGAAACCGGAGCUAAUACCGGAUAAUAUAUUGAACCGCAUGGUUCAAUAGUGAAAGACGGUUUUGCUGUCACUUAUAGAUGGAUCCGCGCCGCAUUAGCUAGUUGGUAAGGUAACGGCUUACCAAGGCAACGAUGCGUAGCCGACCUGAGAGGGUGAUCGGCCACACUGGAGCUGAGCCACGGUCCAGACUCCUACGGGAGGCAGCAGUAGGGAAUCUUCCGCAAUGGGCGAAAGCCUGACGGAGCAACGCCGCGUGAGUGAUGAAGGUCUUCGGAUCGUAAAACUCUGUUAUUAGGGAAGAACAAAUGUGUAAGUAACUAUGCACGUCUUGACGGUACCUAAUCAGAAAGCCACGGCUAACUACGUG